rnacentral:rRNA from 1 species
CACGUAGGGGGCAAGCGUUGUCCGGAUUUAUUGGGCGUAAAGAGCUCGUAGGCGGCUUGUCACGUCGGGUGUGAAAGCCCGGGGCUUAACCCCGGGUCUGCAUUCGAUACGGGCUAGCUAGAGUGUGGUAGGGGAGAUCGGAAUUCCUGGUGUAGCGGUGAAAUGCGCAGAUAUCAGGAGGAACACCGGUGGCGAAGGCGGAUCUCUGGGCCAUUACUGACGCUGAGGAGCGAAAGCGUGGGGAGCGAACAGG